rnacentral:tRNA from 1 species
UUCUGACUAGUUUAAAUAAAAUAAAGGCUUGUCAAGCCUUAGAAGAAAUAAAUGUUUCGUCAGAGA